GGUGCUCCACAUGAGCGAAAAGUAAAACUUAGUGUUUCUCCUUCUCUCUCUCUCCUUUUUCACCUCUCCCUCUCCUUAUCAACCCGAGAAAUCAAACCCAAUCUUCUUCCCACCCAAGCCCUAGUUGCAGAAACCAAGAGAAAAAGAAGGAAGAAGAAAAACAAAGCUGGCUUAAAAUUGUUCUGCCGUCGACCAAGCUGGUAUUACCCUUUACAUUUGAACUGAUACAACACAAUUUGAGAAAAUUUAAAGUCCCCAAUCCUUCUUGUUACUUCACUCAUUUUCUGAUUUGUGCGAUUUAUAGUAGUAUAACUGUUUCGCUUCACUUACUGCUCAAUUUUGAGUUACAAUGUAAUACAAAUGAGGAGUUUAUGAAUAUGGCAUCUAAAUUAUGUUUUGUGAUUUUUGGGUGGAUUUAUGUAUAAAUUGGAGAUGAGAUAGUGUGUAUAUUGUUUAUAUGGAUCGGGUUCAAUUUUGUACUCCUUCUGUCCUAAAAAACAUGUCUUCAAGUAUAAUUUUUUUGUUACACAAAUCAAAUAUAAAACAUGUAUAAAGACUAGUUUACCCAAAAAAUAUACUUAAAUGAGGUCUACUACCUUUAGAGAAGACAGAGGUCCACUAUAAGUAAAAGUGGUACUUAUUUUAAUAUCUUUCAUCUACUUUAGUGUUCUUAAUUUAUGUGAAAUAUGUAUUUUGGACAUCCUUUUGAUGUCGGAGGGGAG
rnacentral:lncRNA from 1 species